UCUACAAGUGUGACAUCAGCGGUCAUGGAGAGUCUCCAUCCAGCUGGAUCACUGUCACAGGGGAAGACACCACCACACCUCCACCUACAUCCACACCUCCUCCUGGUUGCACCUCUUGUCAUCCAUCACCCUCCCCUCCUGUUGUCACUGUGUUGUCAUUCAUUUUAACAGUCUGUGUUGCAGCUCUACUUACUUUAAUAGUUCUGUUGAUUAAACUUUGUGUUGUUAGAAAACCUGAAGGUGACACUUGGACCUCUGGAUUUGACCCAGGUUUUGUUUUUUCAGAAUUAUGUACAAGUAUAUCAAUGACUUUAAACGUGUCAUCAAAACUUGCACAGCGUCAUACUGCUUUUCCUUUUGGUUUUCUUCAGCCAAUCGACAGGAAGCUAAAGAAGAUAACCCAAUCAGUAACGUCUUAUAUGACAUCGGACAGAGCAGAGGGAUAAAUCGGGCUGCACUCUACUCAACAGUGAGGAAAAAAACACCACUUAUUUACAAAUCGUGAAAGACAAGAGAAACAAAUCAAAGCCAACAGAGUUUCCAUCAGAGCCAGAUGCCAUCUCCCCUAGUCCACCAGUCCAACCACUGCAAUCCAGCUGAGGGUCUCGAAUCGGUCCACACAACACCCCAGAUGAGAAUUACUUGUAUAACAGAUUAGUAGAUAUCUUCUUUUCUUUACAUGGAGUUAGAGUCACUCAACUUUUGUGAGACAAGAAAAUCAAUUCAACAGCGGAAAGAUUUUUUAUAAAAAAAAAAAAAAAAAACCUUUAAAAAUGUAAACUCUAAAGACUAAAACAAAAAGCAAUAAUAAUAAUUGUCUUUAUCACCACAGCAAUGAUCUGGUUUCUCUGCAGAAUCAGAUACCUUUGGUCUCAUUUUUUUUGUUCUUCCUGUGUGGUUCUGUGGGUUUUACAAAGAUUUCUGAUCAAAAAUUUGAGGCGUUGUGGCAAACCAGUGCAGACUUCUGUUCACCUAACCAGACUGUAAACAGCAUGAACAUCAUUCAGAAGGUCGACACUGCACAGAAUAUAUUUAGAACAAACUGUACGUGUGUCUAUUUGUACAUUUUAAUUCAAGGAAAUUGAAUCCGUUCAAUUUCCUUGAAUCAACUUCAGUUGUUUUUCAAACUAAGCAUGCCUCCAUAUUAUUAUAUCUUUUGAAUUAUGCAGCUGCACACAUUCAUCUUAGCGUGUUUUUCAGUGUCUGUGGACACAGGGUUUCUUGGACACUUAUAGAUUUUCUUUUAAACUUCUAUGGCUGAUUGCUUUGCUCCUACAUGGCUCUUCAGUUUAUUGCUAUUAUGUCAGUUUGAUCAAAGAAAAAGAAGUAAAUAUUACAUAUAUUGUGAGGAUAAAUGUUCAAACAGAUCCUGCUUUUGAUGCAGUUGCAAGUGCUGUGUUUGAUUGUGAUAUUUGCCUGUAAGUUGCACAAUUGUGAGUCAUUCUGUUGCUGUGUGUAAUUAAAUGAAAAUUAAAAAACAAA